GGCGAGAUAGUAUAAUGGCUAGUACACUCGGUUCUGAUCACUCUGCUCGCUUCGCAAGCACAGAGCAACCACUUCCGAGCAAUCUGGGUUCGAUCCCCAGUCACGCCU
rnacentral:tRNA from 1 species